UAAAAAUACGGUUUGGUUUUGUGGAACAAAUAGCAAUAAACUUCAUGCUUAUAAUCGCGCAAAGAACGGUACUAUUGAAAAGGGUAAAAAGAUUCUGUGUACUGACAACGCUUUGAUUAAAUGUUUUGCUCUUUGCGAUGAUUAUAUUAUAAGUAGCGACAUAAAUGGUGUUAUUAAUCGUUGGGAAAUUAAGAAUGAUCAAAAUAACUUUUUUUUGGAACGUUUAAAAAUACAUGAUGUGCAUUCUAGAAUUAUACAAAUAAACGCAACAUCGCAACACAUUAUAACUGCUUCUAAAAAUUCAAUAAAGAUACUGAAAUAUACAAAUGAUAGAAGAGGUUGUACGGAAGAAAACGAAAUAUUUUGUGGAGACGUCUCAUCUUAUAUAAAAUCAAUCUCAUUUGACCCUAUAAGAACAAAAUUUGCGGCUAAUUCCAUAUAUAGAUAUAUUUGUAAGUCGUCGUUUCUAAUUUACGAUAUUGAUAAAAGGUAAGUUAUGUUUCAAUUAAUUAAUCAAUUUCUACAAAUGUUCGAUUGAACAUUGACUACAUUAACACGUCAAUCUCAAUUGGGUAUAGUAAGAUCCGUAGUUAUGAAACUCGAUUAACGUUGCCGUGUAAACGUACU